rnacentral:lncRNA from 1 species
AAAGAUUAGCCAACAAGGCUAGCUAUUUACCAAUGCUUAUACAAACAUGAUUCAACAGCCAUGGAUUUGCAAACACAGACCAUAGUAUAUUUUUUAUGUACAUAACAUUUCCAUUCUAAGAAUCCACAACAACAUUAUAGGAGGCCGAGGGGCGGUGGUGGGGGAGACAAGGCUGCAACGAUGGAGGUGGCAUACAGUCAGUACAACAAACAAAAGAUCCUACAUAUGAGGAUGAAUAUGUAAUCUAUACAUUAAAUUUACCAAAAGAAAAUCACCUAGAACUAAAAAGGCAGAAAAUUAUUGCUUUUGUUAUAGAUAACUUGUCAUGUUGGUGCUUGAACCGAACAAUACUACUAAUACAUACAGUACAGAGAUGCUCCAGUUUCGGUUGUAUCUAUCAAGCAUCAGUUCUUGUUCAAGGCAAGCUUCAAAGAGAAAAAGAGUGGUGCUGAUUCAUAUGUAUAUAUGUAUAUACAGAAGAUGCAAGUGUCAUCAAGUUCGCUUUAGUCAAAGUAAAAACAAAUGGACACAUACAAAACUGAACCAAGGGUGGUGCUGAUUCAUGUGUAUGUACAGAUUGAGGUGCCAGCCAGUUGGUUUCACUCAAAGUUCAACCAAAAAAAUUGACACAUACAAAUUGAAGAAAAGUGUGGUCCUGAUUCAUAUGUAUGUAUGUACAGGAGAUGCAAGUGCCACCAAGAUAGAUAGUUUCAGUCAAAAGUAAAAAACAAUUGGAUACAUACAAACUGAAGCAAACCGUCGUGCUUUUUCAUGUGUACAUACAAAAGAUGCAAGUGGUAUCCAUAAUUUGGAUAUAGGUAGUACGCUCAUGUGGUGAAUUUUGUGAAUCUAUACUCUGCAUCUACCAAAAGGAUCACCCCCCUCACAUGCAAAUAUAAUUCAGUCCAAUGGCUUUCUUCUCCCCUCACAUGCAUAAGACGAGAGCAGACCAUCUAAACAGGCGGACCAGACCUUCACCUUGGGAGAGAGGCGAGUGCUACCUGUUGCCAUGUCGUCGUCGAGCUCGGGUGGUCCUCCUCCUCCUCCUCGAGCAAGACAAGGUUGUUUCUCCCCUACACUCCAAUGGCCAUCUUCUCCAAGGACAUCUACAAGGCCAGAACACACCAUUGAUGCAAGUGUCACCAAGAUAGUUUCAGUCAAAGUUAAAGCAAAUGUAAAUAUGCAAACUGAACCAAACCGAGGUGCAUGUUCAUAUGUGUGUGUAUGUAGAGAUGCAAGUGCAAUCUGAAUUUUGGGGAACCAAAGCAUGGUUGUUGUCGUUGUUGUUGCUACUUUAGCAGCAACAACAUCCUUGAAACCAAACAAGGGGCAAGUUGUUUUAGCAGCAGCGCAUACUAGUAAUUAGCUAGGACCAUUAUUAUUGAACAACCAUUCGAGGACGGUGGCAGACACAUCAAUCUCAUAAGGCUCUACUGGAGAAACAAAAGCAUAGGAUAUGUGAUGCUGGCAAUCUUAGCACAAGAAGAAAAAAACACAGCCUCUCCGAUAGAAUGGAUGGAUGCAUCAUGCACAAUCAUCGGUUCCAUCAUUGCAGCACUAGUUGAGCAACAAAUCAAAUAUAACAGUAGUUCCAUUCGUUCAGCCAACAAGUUAACAAAAGUUUACUUCCCACUACUAAUUUUGCAACUUGUCAUAAUAAAGAAAACAGAGCUCAAAAUCACAGCAACAAAAGCAGUAGACUGGGAGCCUGGAACCAUGCAAACCAAAUCGCAGAGCAGAAAAAUAACAGUACUACCUGGAGCAAUAAGAAACUCAACGGCCUAGGGCAACAUUUGGAAGGAGACAAGCAAGUACUACAACAGCUAGCUGGGCUGAAUUGAAGAUUAACCAAAAUCAUAUCAAGUAUUUGUUGAGCAUGAUUAUACACGGGAAGGGGAAGGGGUUCACGGCAGGGACCUUUAGGUCAUGACCUGGCUUGCAUCUCUCCUCCUCAUGUGCAUUGGUUUGCAUCCAAUCCUUGCAGUCCAAUCCAUGGAAGUCCCUCCCUCCCUGCAUCUCUAGAACACGACACUUAAAUUUCAUCAACUUCCAUUGCUACUGAUAAAAGAGGAGCAAGAUGUAUAUGCUGCAUAAAUCAUACAUGGAGAAGCAAGUUGCUUGAAAACAGAGGAGGUCCAUGAUGGUUGUUCUCAUUCGCAACAGAAAAACUCAGAAAAAUGCACAAGUGCAUGCUAUCUAUGGAUACACCAACUCUAUCAGUACCUGGCACCCAAACUAAGAAAAAAAUUCAUUCAUAUGCAGCAACCUAAACUCAACUUUGAGAGAGCGGACUGAUUAACAUUUUUUUGUUGGGUCGAAUUUUUCACAAAUAUAGAUAGUGUAACGCCCGUGAAAUUAAAUUAUGCAAAGUAGUAUAGUAGUAAUAUUUUAAGCCAAUUAUAGAGAUUAUCGGAUGGAUUGAUAGCUUGCACUAAUAAUAUAUAUGAUGGAUGCCACUGUUUAAGAAUUAGCAGUAGUUGCUUAGAACCCAAAUGCAUGUACACGUACUGGUCUAGGCAGACUUUUUUUUCUUUCCCUUAAUUUGUGAGAAGAGUUAGACCAGAUAUUUUGCUCAACAAGUAGCUGGCUGUAGGAAGGGUCGAGGAGGCAACUGAAAAUAAAAUGUUUAGUAAAUGGAAAUGAUUAUGCUGCUGACUCAGGUACAGGCCAGCAAGCUUAUCUAUUCCUGUUGUCAGACAUACGUGUCAAUUAGAGCAAUUUUACUUACUGUCUAUUCCUGCACGCCUAUAUAAAGGG